CGAGGCGGCCGGGUGGCUGCGGCGCGGUGGAACCACCGGCCGGUGUUAUGCCGGCGGGUCAGGCCCCGUGUCGAGGAAAGUCCGGACUCCACAGAGCACAGUGGUUGCUAACGGCAACCCAGGGUGACCUGCGGGCAAGUGCAACAGAAAGUAGACCGCCCGCCCACCGUUUUUCGCGGUGUGCGGCGGGUGAGGGUGAAAGGGUGCGGUAAGAGCGCACCAGCGUGGCAGGCGACUGUCGCGGCUAGGUAAACCCCACUGGGAGCAAGGUCAAGGAGCCGCACGGCCCCGCCCGUCGCAGGGCGGGGCGGGCGGCGUUGUCUGAGGGCUGCUCGCCCGAUGAAGGACAGGUGGACUGCUUGAGGCGCCCAGCAAUGGUGCGUCCAGAUGGAUGGUCACCUCGUGCCACCCCUCGUGGGUGGCAUCAGACAGAAUCCGGCUUAGAGGCCGCCUCGACAC
rfam:Corynebacterium urealyticum DSM 7109 complete genome